AGUGGCGAACGGGUGAGUAAUGUAUCGGAACGUACCUUUCAGUGGGGGAUAACGUAGCGAAAGUUACGCUAAUACCGCAUAUUCUGUGAGCAGGAAAGCAGGGGAUCGAAAGACCUUGCGCUGAUUGAGCGGCCGAUAUCAGAUUAGCUAGUUGGUGGGGUAAAGGCCUACCAAGGCGACGAUCUGUAGCGGGUCUGAGAGGAUGAUCCGCCACACUGGAACUGAGACACGGUCCAGACUCCUACGGGAGGCAGCAGUGGGGAAUUUUGGACAAUGGGGGCAACCCUGAUCCAGCCAUGCCGCGUGAGUGAAGAAGGCCUUCGGGUUGUAAAGCUCUUUCGGCCGGGAAGAAAUCGCAUAGGCUAAUACCCUGUGUGGAUGACGGUACCGGAAUAAGAAGCACCGGCUAACUACGUGCCAGCAGCCGCGGUAAUACGUAGGGUGCGAGCGUUAAUCGGAAUUACUGGGCGUAAAGCGUGCGCAGGCGGUUUCGUAAGACAGAGGUGAAAUCCCCGGGCUCAACCUGAGAACUGCCUUUGUGACUGCGAGGCUAGAGUACGCAGAGGGGGGGUGGAAUUCCACGUGUAGCAGUGAAAUGCGUAGAGAUGUGGAGGAACACGAUGGCGAACGCAGCCCUCUGGG
rnacentral:rRNA from 1 species